GUGAUGUUGACAUAGGGAUGUGGCUCUUUCGGGAGUGUUAUAACCCUUGGCGGAAUGUGACGAUUGGGAUUGAGGUUUGCAACGAAUACCUUUAGGGCAGUUCCUUCUGGUCUCUUGUUGACGUUCAGAUGACAACAGCUUGCUUUUGUUGUUUGAAUAGUUAGCGAAUAGAUUGGAAUGUGAAUUAAUUCGUUAAGGAUGUUGACGUAA
rnacentral:rRNA from 1 species